rnacentral:rRNA from 1 species
UCGAGAAUUUUUCUCAAUGGGGGAAACCCUGAAGGAGCGACGCCGCGUGGAGGAUGAAGGUCUUCGGAUUGUAAACUCCUGUCAUUGGUGAACAAGGCUCUCGGAGUAACUGCCGUUGAGUUUGAUAGUAGCCGAAGAGGAAGGGACGGCUAACUCUGUGCCAGCAGCCGCGGUAAUACAGAGGUCCCAAGCGUUGUUCGGAUUCAUUGGGCGUAAAGGGUGCGUAGGCGGUGAGGUAAGUCUGGUGUGAAAUCCCGGGGCUCAACCCCGGAACUGCACUGGAUACUGCUUUACUAGAGUACUGGAGAGGGAACUGGAAUUUACGGUGUAGCAGUGAAAUGCGUAGAUAUCGUAAGGAAGACCAGUGGCGAAGGCGAGUUCCUGGACAGUUACUGACGCUGAGGCACGAAGGCCAGGGGAGCAAACGGGAUUAGAUACCCCGGUAGUCCUGGCAGUAAACGGUGCGCGUUUGGUGUGGGAGGAUUCGACCCCUUCCGUGCCGGAGCUAACGCGUUAAACGCC